GAAACUCAUUAGAAUAACCAUAUAACUCAUUAUCUAUGUUAGUCAACGUUUAUUCAUAAAUCUGGUCCUUCACCAUCAUGUGUGUAUUACAUUUUUGCCAAAUCCACCAAUAGCAAUUUCCAGUUUCGCAAUUGUUCGAGUCACAGAUAGGUAACUUUCCUAAAACAUUGCUAUUGGUUAGUUGGGCAAAAAUACAAUACACACGUGACGGUGAAGAACCAGAGUUAUGAAUCAACGUUGACUAACAAAGAUGAGUUAUAUUGUUAUUCUAAUGAGUUUC